rnacentral:tRNA from 1 species
AAAAUCCGUCGACUUUAGAGGUCGCAA